CAGAGUCCAUUCUCCAGUACAGAUCAUUCAAUUUAAGGUAUUCGUCUUCGGUCUUCAAACUAAUUUGAAACCCUUAUAACCUACUCCACAUUCAAACUGCUCAGAGCUUCUAGGGUCACUCACAUCAGGAAAGAUCAAAAUCAUAUCCAACUUCAAUCUCCAUUGUCACCAUGAAUCGCAUUUCCAGCUCAUCAAAGCAUUUAUGUAUUGAUAUGUGUAUCAGUAUGGGAUCAAAAGUAUUGCAUUAGGCUGUUGUUCUCAGAUUUAAUCAGGUUAAGUGGUGGGAAUUGUAGAGAAAAUAAGGAAAACAAGAAGGAAGAUAAUUUCACAGUGUAGUUGUGAAAAUGUCACCAAUUAGAUUUGAGGGUACAAAACAAUAUUAUGCUACUUUCACUGUUGUGUUAGGCUAUGUUUUAUGUUCUAGCUUGCUUGCGGUGAUC